UCUCCCUGCUCCAAAUCACUGCUCAUCUUCUGAAGUAGGCUGUAAUCACCUCACAGAUGGAAAUAAAAAUCUUUACUGGGCUCUGUCCUAUGUUAUCUUCCAGGCAUCUCGUAAAUGAAAACCUAACUUGUUAUCAGGCGCCCAGCUGCUAUCUGAGUAAUAGGGAACCAUCUGGAGUCCACAGGGAGCAGCACAUCCCAAUGAACUGGAGAAUGUUCACAAGUUAGAGAUUAAAUUCUCACCAAUCAGGGGGAUCUGCCUCGCCAGUGUCCAAAGGAGUGUGAACUACAAUACAAUGUCUUCUCAAAAGGAGAAGUCUUGAAAGCUGGAAAGUCCAAGAUUAUGGUGCUGGAGGAUUCAGUGUCUGGUGAAGACCCUCUUCUGAGCUGUAGACUGCUGACUUCUCUCUGUGCCCUCUCUGUGAAAGGAGUGCUGUUGUUAUUUUGAGACAAGAGCAGACAACAUAACCUUUUAGGAAAGCUUGCAGGUCUGGCCUUCAGCAACAGGGAGAUUGGGUUUAGUCCCAAACCUACCACUUUCGAGUCUUCAACCUCUAAUCAACUUUGAAAUGGAUGAGACUGUCAGAUGCUAAGAUUUGAAUCACAUGCUGCUGUGGUGAGG